AAUAUUGGUCAAUUGAGGCAACUCUGAACCAGCCAAGUCGCGUGAAGGAAGACUGCCCUACGGGUUGUAAACUUCUUUUUUAAGGGAAUAAAGUGAGCCACGUGUGUCUUUUUGCAUGUACCUUACGGAUAAGGAUCGGCCAACUCCGUGUCAGCAGCCGCGGUAAUACGGAGGAUCCGAGCUUUAUCCGGAUUUAUUGGGUUUAAAGGGUGCGCAGGCGGAAUAUUAAGUCGGCGGUGAAAGUUUGCAGCUUAACUGUAAAAUUGCCGUUGAUACUGGUAUUCUUGAGUGUAUAUGAAGUAGGCGGAAUCUGUAGUGUAGCGGUGAAAUGCAUAGAUAUUACAAGGAACUCCGAUUACGAAGGCAGCUUACUAAAAUACAACUGACGCUUAGGCACGAAGGCGUGGGGAUCAAACA
rnacentral:rRNA from 1 species